CCUACGGGAGGCAGCAGUGAGGAAUAUUGGUCAAUGGACGAGAGUCUGAACCAGCCAAGUAGCGUGAAGGAUGACUGCCCUAUGGGUUGUAAACUUCUUUUAUAGGGGAAUAAAAUGGGCCACGUGUGGGAGUUUGUAUGUACCAUAUGAAUAAGGAUCGGCUAACUCCGGGCCAGCAGCCGCGGUAAUACGGAGGAUCCGAGCGUUAUCCGGAUUUAUUGGGUUUAAAGGGAGCGUAGGGGGAUUGUUAAGUCAGUUGUGAAAGUUUGCGGCUCAACCGUAAAAUUGCCGUUGAAACUGGCAGUCUUGAGUACAGUAGAGGUGGGCGGAAUUCGUGGUGUAGCGGUGAAAUGCUUAGCUAUCACGCAGAACUCCGAUUGCGAAGGCAGUUCACUGGACUGCAACUGACACUGAGGCUCGAAAGUGUGGGUAUCAAACAGGCUUAGAUACCCUGGUAGUC
rnacentral:rRNA from 1 species